UAAAGCUCGGGCUGGGGAGUUACUUCGAGGAAGAAAUCAAACAAUCUCUAGACAUCAUAGCAGCUUCGAUCAAGAAUAAAAAUCUCAAAGUGGAAGAGAAUCUUUAUGUCACUGCAUUACGCUUCAAGCUCCUCAGGCUGCACGGAUAUGAAGUUUCACAAGGUGUCUUCAAUGGCUUUUUCGACGGCACUUUUGACAAAAGCAAAUGCACAGAUGUUAGGGGCUUGAUCGAGCUCUUCGAGGCCUCACAUUUAGCUUACGAGGGUGAAGCUACGCUGGAUGACGCUAAAGCCUUUUCA